rnacentral:rRNA from 1 species
ANGUACGCUUCUUCUGAUUAAGCUUGCUUANUAGGUAAAGAANAGUGGCGGACGGGUGAGUAACACGAUGGGCNACCUGCCCAUCAGGAAGGGGAUAACACUUGGCAAACAGGUGCUANUACCGUAUAAGACUUUUUUUCGCAUGAAGAGGAGUUAAAANGCGCUUUCGGGUGUCACUGAUGGAUGGGCCCGCGGUGCAUUAUCUAUUUGNUGGGGUAAAGGCUCACCANGGCAACGAUGCAUANCCNACCUGAGAGGGUGAUCGGCCACNCUGGGACUGAGACACGGCCCANACUCCUACGGNAGGCANCNNUANGGAAUCUUCNGCAAUGGACGAAAGUCUGACCGANCAACGCCNCGUGAGUGAANAAGGUUUUCGGAUCGUANAACUCUGUUGUUAGAGAAGAAUANGGGAAAGAGUAACUGUUUUCCUCGUGACGGUAUCUAACCAUAAAGCCACGGCUAACUACGUGCCACCANCCGCGGUAAUACGUANGUGGCAAGCGUUGUCCGGAUUUAUUGGGCGUAAAGCGAGCGCANGCGGUUUUUUAAGUCUGAUGUGAAAGCCCCCGGCUCAACCGGGGAGGGUCAUUGGAAACU